rnacentral:lncRNA from 1 species
UACCUUCCUAGGUUGUUGUGGUUAUUGUUGUUAUAGUUGAAACUAUUUCCUUCCAUAUAAUUUUAGGUGUACUCCAUCAUUUUUAAGCACCUUCCUGCAUCAUAGUCUCACACAUACAGAUAGGUGGAUGUAUAGGUCGAUGCAAGAGGUGACCAAGCCUUCUCAAUCGACCUUUCUCAUGUAUCCUCAAUAUAUAUACUUACAUCUUCUGACGAAUAUAUAAUUAUUUUUAAUCUUAUCUAAUCAUGUGUGACCGCACAUCCAUCUUAGCAUUCGUGUUUCUGCAAUACUCAUCUCGUGGAUAGUGAACCUGAAGGUACAUAUGUGAAGAAAAUAACAAAAAUUAUCCCUUAUGAAGGUACGUUCAAAAUGGUCUUUGAAAUAUAUUUAUGUGUAAUUUCAGUGCUUUAAGUUUGUCAAAAGAUAGAAUACUUAGUCUCUUUCAAAUACUUAACAGCUUUGAUCAUUAUAUGUAUAUAACGAAAAUAUACAUUAAAAAAAUUAACAUGAACUUACAUUUGAAACUGUAGUUUUUGAAGUUUCUACUAUUUUUGUAGUUUGGUGCAACUUUUUGAGAUGCAAUUUCUGCUCUCUCUUUUUUCUUCUUAUUUUCUCAAGGUUUGUGUCUAUCUGACACAAAAGAUGCCAACUUAAAUGGAAAAAUGAGUGUUUUGCAAUUUUAACAAUAAGUUAAUUUAACUUACACUAACUGAUUGUGUAAAGAACAUUUAGAUUAUAAAUCUAUGAUCAUUAUAUUUUAACCGGUUAUAACAAAUUAUUAAUUUUUUUCAACAUAACAUAAUACUAAUUACUUAACUUUUUAGGUUAAUAAAUUAGGUAUACUAAUGACAAUUGAAACAGCAAUAUGUUAUAUAUUAUACCCCCAACAAUACAUAGGUAAAAUUGCUGGUGUAAUUGAUUAACAGUUAAAGAAGAAAAAGGAAAAUCAAGCAGGUAAUAAAGCAUGGAAAUAUUCACCGCACAGGAUACUGCUAUUCUUUCUAUUUCCUUUUUCUAACAAUUAUAAUUAUAUCUUUUCUCUGUUGAAUCUAUUUCAACAUGUUAUUGUAGGAAAAAAGAAGAGGGAACAGGGAAAUAUUGUGUAACCGACAAUAUCCGAAGUACCCACAGACUACAAGCAUGAGUUCAUAUAAGAAUCUGUCUGCAAGUUCUGUGAACAAUCUUAGGAUUUCUUUUUUCAUAUUAUUGGAGCCAUACUAUGCAACAUCAAAAGGCAGGUUGGUGCACCAAAUUCCUGUUAUGUAUGAAGUUUAGGGAAGAGUCGGAUCAUAAGGGUCUAUUGUACGCAAUCUUACCUUGCAUUUCUGCAAAAGUCUGUCUUCACGGCUCGAAUCUGUGACCCCUUGGUCACAUGGUAGCAACUUUACCAGUUACGCUGUCACAACUCAAAACCUACUAGUCAUGAUGGCACCUAAAAACCGACCCGGUAGGUAAGCUAACUAGUAUUUACCCGGUUUCAAUGAUAUUUAACAGAAUAAUUAAUCAAAGAAAUUAUAUAAAUCUUAUACAUUCUCAAGGACUGGUAGUACAAAUCACGAACUUCUAAUAAUAUAGUUU